UGGGGAAUUUUGGACAAUGGGCGCAAGCCUGAUCCAGCCAUGCCGCGUGCGGGAAGAAGGCCUUCGGGUUGUAAACCGCUUUUGUCAGGGAAGAAAUCUUCUGAGUUAAUACCUCGGGAGGAUGACGGUACCUGAAGAAUAAGCACCGGCUAACUACGUGCCAGCAGCCGCGGUAAUACGUAGGGUGCAAGCGUUAAUCGGAAUUACUGGGCGUAAAGCGUGCGCAGGCGGUUUUGUAAGACAGAGGUGAAAUCCCCGGGCUCAACCUGGGAACUGCCUUUGUGACUGCAAGGCUUGAGUGCGGCAGAGGGGGAUGGAAUUCCGCGUGUAGCAGUGAAAUGCGUAGAUAUGCGGAGGAACACCGAUGGCGAAGGCAAUCCCCUGGGCCUGCACUGACGCUCAUGCACGGAAGCGUGGGGAGCAAACAGGAUUAGAUACCCUGGUAGUCCACGCCCUAAACGAUGUCAACUGGUUGUUGGGAAGGUUCCUUCUCAGUAACGUAGCUAACGCGUGAAGUUGACCGCCUGGGGAGUACGGCCGCAAGGUUG
rnacentral:rRNA from 1 species